GUGGGGAAUUUUGGACAAUGGGCGCAAGCCUGAUCCAGCAAUGCCGCGUGCAGGAAGAAGGCCUUCGGGUUGUAAACUGCUUUUGUACGGAACGAAACGGUCCUGGUUAAUACCUGGGGCUAAUGACGGUACCGUAAGAAUAAGCACCGGCUAACUACGUGCCAGCAGCCGCGGUAAUACGUAGGGUGCGAGCGUUAAUCGGAAUUACUGGGAGGAAAGCGUGCGCAGGCGGUGCUGUAAGACAGGCGUGAAAUCCCCUGGCUCAACCUGGGAAUUGCGCUUGUGACUGCAGUGCUGGAGUACGGCAGAGGGGGAUGGAAUUCCGCGUGUAGCAGUGAAAUGCGUAGAUAUGCGGAGGAACACCGAUGGCGAAGGCAAUCCCCUGGGCCUGCACUGACGCUCAUGCACGAAAGCGUGGGGAGCAAACAGGAUUAGAAACCCUGGUAGUCC
rnacentral:rRNA from 1 species